AAGGUGUAGCUUAUGAGUUGGAAAGAAAUGGGCUACAUUUUCUGCAUAAGAAUAUUCACCGUACGAAAGUUUUUAUGAAACUAAAAACCAAAGGAGGAUUUAGCAGUAAAUCAAGAGUAGAGUGCUUGAUUGAAUAAGGCCAUGAAGUACGCACACACCGCCCGUCACCCUCCUCAAGCAUAUAGUAAUACAAAAUAACCUAUAUUUAAUUACAUAAUCAUGCAAGAGGAGACAAGUCGUAACAAGGUAAGCAUACUGGAAAGUGUGCUUGGAUUACCAAAGCAUAGCUUAAACUAAAGUACCUAGUUUACACCUAGAAGAUCCCACAAUAUAUGGGUGCUUUGAACUAAAGCUAGCUCAACAUACUAAAUAAACACAAAAACUACACUAAAAUAAAAUAAAACAUUUACCUGACAUUAAAGUAUAGGAGAUAGAAAUUUUUAUCUUGACGCUAUAGAGAUAGUACCGUAAGGGAAAGAUGAAAGAACAAAAUAAAAGUAAAAAAAGCAAAGAUUACCCCUUCUACCUUUUGCAUAAUGAUUUAACCAGAAAAAAUCUAACAAAGAGAACUUUAGCUAGAUACCCCGAACCAAUAACUAAUAGCAAACUCCUAGCCCAAUAUCGGACUAAUCUAUUGAAACAUAGAAGCAAUAAUGUUAAUAUGAGUAACAAGAAGCCUUUCUCCUUGCACACGCUUACAUCAGUAACUAAUAAUAUACUGAUAAUUAACAACCAAUAAACCAAACACUAAGGAAAGAUUAAAAGAAGUAAAAGGAACUCGGCAAACACAAACCCCGCCUGUUUACCAAAAACAUCACCUCUAGAUCCAACCAAUGGAUCACUGAAGAAAUCAAAGAGGAAAUUAAAAAUACCUAGAAGCAAAUGACAACGAAUAUAUGACACUCCAAAACCUAUGGGAUGCAGCAAAAGCCAUUCUAAGAGGAAAGUUUAUAGCAAUACAAGCCCACCUCAGGAAAAAAUAAAAAGCUCAAAAUAAACA
rnacentral:lncRNA from 1 species